GCGGGGGGCGAGGCGUGGCGGCGGGGCGCGGAGCCGGGCCACCGCGGGUGACCCGCGCUGGCGGCGAGACGAGCGGCACGUUUCGUCCGGGCGGAGCCGCCUGCCGAGAGCCCCGGGCAAAGAUGCGCUUGUUUAAAAUUGAGGCAAUGUUACGAAGAUUGAGGAAAUACGAUUAUGAUGUUGUAGACCUCACCUCAGUGGUGCAGCAAAAGUACUUGUCCACACAGCAAAAGGGAAACAAAGCAUUCAAAUUUUUUUACAUUAAACAGCCCAGAAGGUAGAAUCAUCCUUCCUUUUAUCUUCCUCUCACUCUAAUUUUUUACUUUAGACAAAUGUUUUUCUAAGUGAAUUACGUGGAGAAUUCAAGCCCUGCUUCACUUGAUCAGAUCUUGCAAAGCAACCUGAAACAUGACCACAGCACAUACCACACAGAGAAUCGCGAAAGGGGGAAUCAUUUGAAGAAUAUAUUAAACCUGAGAACUUAGGUAGAGAACACAUGGAACUGAACAGAAUACAUAGAAUCAUUUAAGUUGGAAAAGACCUUUAAGAUCAUUGAGUCCAACUGCAAACCUAACACUGCCAAGUCCACCAAAAGAAGUGAUGGGAUGACCAAACAUCCUUCUCCAGGUGCUCUCUACACCGCAGCUGGAGGUGCUUCUGUUCCAUUCAGUUGCAUGUGCAAGAGUAGAGCUAUCUUCUCCAUAUCUGCGUGAAGCCUGUGCAGAGAAACAGGAGAAAAUCUUAAGGUGUGGAAACAUACUAAGAUGAGGCAAACCUAAAAACUUUCAAAUCAACACCCAGCAAGUAUUUCACAAGGCACACUACAAAGUAUCUUUGCAGCACUACAGCAGCUUUGUGCUCUAGAUGAAUAUUGAGGGCUUAGCUUGAAAUGUUGCUGGGUUUUAUAGCUUUGUGGUAGGCAGAAGUUUCUUAAUUGCAGGAUAAUGAUGUGGUGUGGGCACAUGCCUUUUGCCUAGUGGUUAUGAAUUACUUUGUGCAGAUACAUGAAACCCACAUCAAAGAAGCAUAGACGUGUCCUUCCAGGCUGAUUGAGGGAGAGAAGGAGGAAAGCUAGCACGGAAAGGAGGUCAAAGACAAACCAAGGUUUAACCAAGGCACGGUUAAAAAUCUUGGAUUAAAAAAGUGACCUUGAAAAUAUGGUUUAUCCUGCUGCCUUUCAACAUAAUUUGUCCUGUUGUCCAACAACCCUAUUUGAAACUAUCAAAGGCCUUCCCUUUCCUUAAGGAAAAAAAGAGGCAGCACUUUCUCAGUAGGAUUGUCAAGGUUUAGAGAUGGAAUUCUGAUCCUGCAAAAAAUGGCCUGUAACACAGGCCUGAGAGAAUUGUCUGAGUGGAGGGGAGAAAAAAGUAAUUGAAAUGUUAAAUUUGCUUUUGUUGUGAUUGAUAUGAUGCUGUCCUUAUUUGUUUUCAGAUAUCAGAACGGUUUCUUGAUGGAACUUUUACAACUGAAAACCUGCAACUCAUUUAACAAGAGCUCUGUUUUCACCCUCGUUCAGAACUGAUUUUUCUGUCUGGAUUGACUUUAGGCACAGUCCCUGCCAUCUUCUGCCAGAGAUUUUUCUCCUGCAAACUUAAUCCAUGAUCCAGUUACAUGACUAUUUCAAAUUUACAUUAAAAUGGAGUAAAAGAUUGAUUUGAAUUCCAAGGGAAGAAAGGGAGGCACAAUGAUGUUGUUGAAUCUUUUGUUCCCAGAAGAACCAGCAAAGAAUUAAGAUUAUUAAAGAAGUAUAAUUUGGUCAGACCAACCAUCUUAAUCCAUGUCAGUUAAAAAGAUGAUUUUCCCCACUUUUUUAAUGUGUUAGACACAAGCAUGUUUGAUUUAUGAUGGGAGUCAAAACCAUCUGUACUUUGGGGCACAAGCAAAUGCUUAUUUAAACAAUGGGGCUCCCUGGGGGGGAUAUAGGAAAGAAGUGACAUUCUUUUGCAAAGAAUUCAGUGUUUUUCACUCCAUGAAAUAUCUUGCUUUGUUUUGAAAAGUACUUUGCAGAAGACACAAUGACUUAACCUACUAUAAAGGAGUCCAGCAACUUUCACCUUUAUGUGACUGGUAUGAAUAUGAACCAGGUUAGGACCGAUGAAAUACUGUUACUGUUUGCUUGCCUUAGAGUGACCCGUGUGAAAAGAAUUGGUCAUCUCAGUCUCAUUGGCAGCAUACAAGUAUUCACGUCUUAAAAACAUUUGGAACUAGUUGGCAGUACGAGGCCUUGUCUGCACUCAGGAUUAGCUCUGAUUUCAGGAAUUAUUUUAGCUUCUGGUACAAACCCACUGAAGUUGUGCAAAUUGUGACCAAUGCUGCCAUCUGCACCAUUCGAUGGCUGACGUGGGGACUAGUUCUAACUGCAGAUGAGGCUGAAGGAAAGGAACCAGUUUCUGAAUAGUUACAUAUCCUGAAUCAGCUCUUGUGAUGUGCUUUAGUAGUUUAUUUGAGGUUUUUCAGGAAAAAAGUGUUGAGGGCAUCAGAAGAUAAACAUCUGUAGCAGCAUUUUAAGUUCAAGCCUGCACUGGGUGGAGAUUCCCUUCUGUAACCAGAUGCUGUGCUGUAUAUGCAUUGAUAUGAUUAGAAACAGGCUUGAGAGUAACAUUUAAAUUUACUAGUAAACUUCUCAGACUUCAGUAAGCCAGGUCUGUGAAUGAAUGUUGUGCCUGCUCCUUUCAAAUCCAUUAUCUUGAAUCCAGACAUCUCCAUGCUUAAGGGACUUUCUUGCCAAGCUUUGGAACUGACCUCUGUAGCUCAGCACAGUCAGUCUGCUAUGACAAAGAUGUGCCUCACUGUAGAGCCCAGUGUAAACUAUUAAUGUCAACAAAGAGGCCAGAGCAGAGAGACAGAAAUAUGUGUGUUCCUGGGAGGUUUCCACAUAUGGAGGAAGCAGAAAAAAAGUAACAAUCUACAUUUCAGCUGCUUUUCUAAAUUAAUGUAUUCAACAAUGUGGCAGGCUAGUAGCUUUCCCUUCCCAAGUAAGACUAUGCCAAACUACAGUGAAGAAGCCUAGAGUCUUUUAAAAGAAGGUGUGAAAAACUCUGGGGCAAGUGUAGAAUUUUAGAAAAGAGCCAAAGCCUCUGUCCAGCCUCAGAAGAGCAGAAUGACAGAGCCCUGGCAGCCAUUGCAGCCACCACCGAUUUAUUUACGAGUUCCUGGAGUCAGUCCAGUGUAAUUAUGGGCCUGAACUCCAGAUCAGAUUCACUUGACAUUUGAGAAAGUCUGUGGAAAAACAGUAAUAAUAAACUGAUAAUAACCAUCCAUCUCAUAAGCAACAAAAAAUAAAGGGAAGAGAAAGGGCAGGUGGGGAGAGGGGAUGGCAACAUAAUCCCCAAAAGAUCUCCUGCUUGUCAGGAGAUACUUUCAGUAUAUACCCCUAUGUAUUUUCCAAAAGGAGCUAUGGAGAAUUUUGGAGUAAGUCCUGACUCAUGUCAAUGCUAUUGCAAUUACUGCACUGGAAAAAAUGAAAAUGGGGGGUGCAAAGGAAGCUGGGAUAAGUCGGGACAGCAGUUUCUUUUGGUGGAGUAGAUAGUUUGUGGCCCACAUGGCAUUUAUCCAAGCAUGCUCAUCACCUAAAUUAUAUUACCAUGAAGCUGUUGGCUUUGGAAAAAGAUGUUUGAAGAAACUAUGCUGUAGCAUAUGAUUCGUUUUCAAUUUCAUGCACAGUAUAGAAAUACACUUUUUCUACUUUACUGCAGGGCUUUGAUUCUGCUUGUUCAUAUCAUUGGUAUAACAUGGAUGAAUAUCGGGUUUAAAAAUCUUUGUAUUUUAAACAUCUGCAGUCUUGUAUCAAGAUUUAUAUUGCACUGUUCAGUCCUUUCCAUUUGAAUCACUCCAUAUUAUUUUCUACUGAAUUUCUGUAAGACUGCUUUCAAAACCCAACUCUCUGGGAGUUUUCCAGAAAAAAAAUAUUUUUCAAGUAAGAUAAGUUUAUUAAUAUUGCUGAAUGGAACAGGUGUCUUCUCUGACAAGAAAGAGGGCUGACAUUUAACUUACAGUUGUCUCAAGUAUUUUAUUUCAGGUGAUGGAAUUGAAUUGCAAGUUAUGAGUAAAAGUUUAGCAAAGCAAGAACAGUUAGUUACCUUUAUGCUACACCUAAACAGCAUAUUGUGAGUUUUCCUUAUGUAGGUUUAAGAACUUACCACCUACAUAUAUGCACAGGUACAAAGGAUUCCAUAUAUGUCAAUGGAUUUCCUCAGAGGAAGCAUUCCAAUUAGCUGCUUUCAUCAAACAACAGCAACCAAAUGUCAAGUGCCCUGGCAAUCAAUACCAAGCACAGUAACGCUAGACGGUGUCUGAAGGAAAAGGAAUCCUGGGUGAAUGAAUGGGGUUAUUGGCCCAGAACAUGUCAUCUUCAAGUGACCUGCUUUGCCAUGCUCGCCUAACUUCUCAGGAACUUCCUACUCACAGCUGGAGUGAGUAACUCCAGUUCUGAAGAAGAAAGAAUAUUGAAAAAGGAAUGGUCACAGCUGUAUGCAGAACAAAUUCAGUUCUCAGAUAUCCAGUGAAUGUACACUUCUUCAGGUUAAGUGCAUGGGAAUCACACAUAUUGAAGUAGUUUAGCCCAUAGUCCCUGAUUUGACAAUGGUAUCAUGUAUUUCUGCUUAGGACCUAUGUGUAGAACUGGAGUUCUAUGUUAUUUGUUGUGGUUUGUUGUUUGUUUUUUUUUUUUUUUUUAAUUUGGCUUAUUAUUUAACUUUAUUUAACUUCUUUAUUUGACAUUUAUUUAACACUUUAGAUUAUUGUGUUAUUUCUGUAUGCUUUGAUACUUUCAUCUAUAAAUAUGUCUCAUACAUCUUGAGGAAGUGACUUAGCAGUCUGAGGCGCUGGUGUAAGGUCAAUAAUAAAAGUCUAAUAUAUAGGAAUGGAA